rnacentral:lncRNA from 1 species
AUUCCACCUGCAACCCUAAUUCCCUUUGUUACGUAGCAUAACAUAUUGACAGGUUCUCAGGACGUCUUUAGCAGGGGCCUUUAUUCUGCCAAUCACAUGAUCUCUAUGAAUCUGCUUCUUGUUUUUUUUUAAUUGGGUGACAUUAAAUUCUGAUUUCUUUCUUUCUUUUUUUUUUUUCUCUAGGGAGUCGUCUCUCAAGAGGACUUGAUCUCUGGCCUGUGAACUGCCCCACAUGUUUCUUCUGCACAUCCUGACUCCCAGGCCUGCACAGGGGACUUCUGCACAGGCCUGACUCCCAGGCCUGACAUUUUCUGGUUCAGCAGCCAGAGUCCUAUCCUGUACUUCUCUUCACGUUGCAGACAUCCACGAAAGAGUGAGACUGUUUUCGGUUGGAUUGAAGAGCAAAUGUGUGGAAGGCACCAAGGUUUGUGUGUAAAUGUGGUGAGUGGGGCCAAGGAGAACUUCUGCACUUCUGCCAGGAGGAAUUAGGAGGCUGAGCAAGACAGACCGCCUGGUCAGUGUGGAGGCGUUGAACUGUGCUAUGUGAGACUGAUAACAUUUGGCUCUUGUCUAAUGAGCCCACCUGGCCACACUGGGGAAUUGAAGAAUCUAGUGACUAGAGGGUACCCACGUAUAGGUUAUC